UAGAAAGCCGUGGUUGGCCACCAUAGUAGCGGCUGCUAAACACUAUUUCCAGACCCGCCAAACAGUGACGAACCACCACAUGAUUCAUCAUCUUCAUCUCAUCCUUAGAAUCAUCAGAGAAGCUUCCUCUAGAGAGUAACAUGAGCUCAUCUCUCUUUGAACUCAGUUCCUUGAUCUUCUUAUGCAGAUACGUUAUGUAGUUCGCAGCCUCAUUCACUUGAUCAGAUGUGGAACGCUUACCCUAAGCAAAAAAUCCCGUCAAGAAACAAAGAAACCAAGAUAUUAAUAGAUCUAGUAUUAGGAAUCUCUUAAGAAAACCACUAUAGUGAAGUCAAAAGCACAAAGUCAAAACACUUGCGAUGAUCUCUUUUCAUUUUCUUACAUGGAAGACCAAGUCAAAUGACAAAGACUACGUACAGAUCUAAGGUAAUAAUAAAGCAUCAAAAUCUGGAUUAGGGUUAUAAGAACUGGGUAGUGACCUGAAUGAAGUGAAGAGGGAGAAGGGAACGAAGAGAAGCAUAAAGAGAAGCCAUUUCUUGUCUUCUUUGUCUCUCGAUUUCUCUAUGCAUCAUCUUCUCCAUGUCGUUAUUAUCAGUACUUACUCUCAGUUUCGUACACCGUCUUCUCUUCUCCCGACAAUCGUCCAUCUAAUAGCUUUGGUGGUCCUAAUUGAUAGAAUAUUGCUUUAAGAGAUUGUCUUUUGAUGAUUCUGAAACAGCAAGAUCUGAUCUCCUGGGAUUUUGUGAUAUGGCAUUCGAUUACACUUUGGAAGAACAAGGUCAGAGCUUUGUUGUAAAGUUGAAAAUUAUUGUGGUCUUGAGGAUUGAGCAAAAUAAUUAAAGAAAAUGUUGUUUGAUAAUACUAUUUAAUUGGAGAAGAAGAUGCGUUAGUUAGACGUAUCAGGAAAUCAAAAAAGUAUUAAAAGGAGAAUAAGAGCCUCGUAUAAGCCGUCCACGUGAGAUGGAAAAAUCAUCCAAUCAGGAAAGUCUGUUUUUGACACGUCACCAUAAUUAAAAUCGAGCGGAUUUUCGUACGGGCUUUAUUAAAAUUAUAUCAAUCGGCUCACAACAGCUCAUGUAGAGAACCUGUUUAGUUUUCACGCUUUCGAGAGUAUCUUCUCCUCUUACUCUUCCGCUUCAUCUUCUCCAAUGUCUAAAAUUUUUCUGUGUAACCUCUUUUUUUUCUUUUUGGUAAAAUGUUAAAAUUAUUAUACCAAGGUUUUUGUUUUUUUACAGAAUAACACAGAAACAGAAUAGCAGAGAUGCAUAAAUUGAAACUAAAUAGAGCACCUAAAGCAGAUGAACUUUAAGAAAAGAAGACGGGAUCCAGAAAGAGACCGACAUUAACGCUGCAGUGACGGACCUUUGCAGAGACAUGAGCGGAUCGAGCUCCCAGUUGCCGCGAGCCGGAGAGAAAGGCGCCCUCAUACCUUGAAGCACCGGGUCCUACAGCUUCCAAGAAGCCCUCAGAUCAACACCUACACAAAGAAUCAAACGUCUCGCAUCCGCAAGCCCAUCCAAUAUCACACCACCGGAAGCACGAGAAGGAGUCCACAACCGGCGAUGCCGUCGUUCGGGAUAAGAGUCCGGAGAUUGCUGCCUCCAUCCUCUCAGACCCGGGACCGUAUACACCCUUUUAACCCACCACCCAUAUAGAGCAAUGAGACAGGUCA
rnacentral:lncRNA from 1 species